rnacentral:rRNA from 1 species
UACGUAGGGUGCAAGCGUUAAUCGGAAUUACUGGGCGUAAAGGGCGCGUAGGCGGCCUUCUAAGUCGAACGUGAAAUCCCUGGGCUCAACCCAGGAACUGCGUCCGAUACUGGAAGGCUUGAAUCCGGGAGAGGGAUGCGGAAUUCCAGGUGUAGCGGUGAAAUGCGUAGAUAUCUGGAGGAACACCGGUGGCGAAGGCGGCAUCCUGGACCGGCAUUGACGCUGAGGCGCGAAAGCCAGGGGAGCAAACGGG